AUUGAACGCUGGCGGCAGGCCUAACACAUGCAAGUCGAGCGGAUGAAGGGAGCUUGCUCCUGGAUUCAGCGGCGGACGGGUGAGUAAUGCCUAGGAAUCUGCCUGGUAGUGGGGGAUAACGUCCGGAAGCGGGCGCUAAUACCGCAUACGUCCUGAGGGAGAAAGUGGGGGAUCUUCGGACCUCACGCUAUCAGAUGAGCCUAGGUCGGAUUAGCUAGUUGGUGGGGUAAAGGCCUACCAAGGCGACGAUCCGUAACUGGUCUGAGAGGAUGAUCAGUCAAACUGGAACUGAGACACGGUCCAGACUCCUACGGGAGGCAGCAGUGGGGAAUAUUGGACAAUGGGCGAAAGCCUGAUCCAGCCAUGCCGCGUGUGUGAAGAAGGUCUUCGGAUUGUAAAGCACUUUAAGUUGGGAGGAAGGGCAGUAAGUUAAUACCUUGCUGUUUUGACGUUACCAACAGAAUAAGCACCGGCUAACUUCGUG
rnacentral:rRNA from 1 species